ACCAAGUCUAAAUUUUGUGCCCUUUAUGACACUUCAGUCCAUUUUCCCAUCUAACACCGUUAAAUUGCAUGUAAAAAGACACUUUUGCCCUUCAUGUCAUAUGUGACCAAAUUUUUAAUAGAUGUUAAAUAUUAAAAAAAACUCAUGUCUAGCUCAACUGGCCCCGCAGCCGUGCCGGCAACUACUACAUGCAUCUAUGAUCACCAGGAAAUGCCUAAAUGAUCCAAUAAAUGGUUGAAUUGGGCCACUUAUGUCUUCUUAAAUAUGUUCAAGGAAAUUGGGAACGUAUUCUUAAUUUUGAGGUAAGUUGGAUUUAUAAUUUUCUUAUUUAAAAAUCAUUUAUGUGCGACGUUUGGCAGAGAUUUAAUAUAUAUAAUGUGAUCCAAAUGGUAAUGUGGUGUAAUUUUCAAGUAUUAGUUUAUCAUAUCCGUUGUUUCGACUAAAAGUAAAUAUUCAAUGUUAUUUUCAGAACUUGUUUCCAGAUGUAAAACUUUAAUCGGAUAUCUCUAUACUUAAAAGGGUACUAGUGGAUUAAGGAUACAAGAGUGCAUCCUAAGUUGCAAUGGUUGUAUCCACGGGAAGAACAAUUAUGUGUCUACGAGAACCUCCAAUUGAUGCACCAUGUGAAGUCAUGUUGACAUUUUCUUUUCUCUUUGGUAAGGUUAUGGAAUAAAUUUUAUUUUCCCUAGUAUUGUGUUAGUGGUGUAUAUAUUCACUAAACAAGGUUCUUCCAUUCCUCUGUUUCCAUAUGCCGCUGCACCAUCAUCCACUGCCAUGCUGAGGUGGUGGAGAUUAGCAGGCAGCAGUCUUAAUGGCGUUGAUGGGGAGGUGUCUUCGCGGUGCUGAUGGGGAGGUUGAGACCUCGUGGAAUCCAUGUUCUCAGGCGGAGGCUAAGUUGGCGAUUUGUCACUGCAGUUGUGAAUCAGCAUAAGAGAUGGCACGCUUAGGUGCCGAGGGCCUCGCUAGAUCCAGAUGGAUUGUAGGAGCCGCAAUCUCGCUCGCCACUCUGCGGGGGUUUGUCAAGGUUGAUGGCGAGCCUCUACAGGGUGAUGUAGUGGCUUUUUUUUUUUGAAAAAACUCAGACUUUAUUCAUUUGUAAUAAGUAAUACAUCGUUUGUGAGG
rnacentral:rRNA from 1 species